CACGAACGCUGGCGGCGUGCCUAAUACAUGCAAGUCGAGCGGAAGUUGAAGAGCUUGCUCUUCAACUUUAGCGGCGGACGGGUGAGUAACACGUGGGCAACCUGCCCUGCAGAUCGGGAUAACUCCGGGAAACCGGUGCUAAUACCGAAUAGUUUUCGCCACCUCCUGGUGGCGUACGGAAAGACGGUUUCGGCUGUCACUGCAGGAUGGGCCCGCGGCGCAUUAGCUAGUUGGUGGGGUAACGGCCCACCAAGGCGACGAUGCGUAGCCGACCUGGGAGGGUGAUCGGCCACACUGGGACUGAGACACGGCCCAGACUCCUACGGGAGGCAGCAGUAGGGAAUCUUCCGCAAUGGACGAAAGUCUGACGGAGCAACGCCGCGUGAGUGACGAAGGUUUUCGGAUCGUAAAACUCUGUUGUGAGGGAAGAACAAGUACCAACUAACUACUGGUACCUUGACGGUACCUCACCAGAAAGCCACGGCUAACUACGUGCCAGCCGCCGCUGUAAAAC
rnacentral:rRNA from 1 species